rnacentral:lncRNA from 14 species
UGCAGGGAGCACCCAGCCCCUGGGACUGAUGAGCAGUCUUGUGCUGUUCGGUUUCUCUCCACUGUCUCAUCAGAAUGGCUGUGAUUUCAGUUCAGCCUGCUGGUGUGGGGCAGAUCUUCCCCACACUCAGUGGCAGGAACUCCUGCCAUCGAUGUCUGAUACACUUACUCUGUCCGUUCCCUCACAUGUGCACCAGAAGCUUGUUUUGCCUUGGUCCUUCUGCUGCAGCUUUCCUUUUAUCCCUGCCCACUGCAAGUGCUUUAUGUGCUGUCUCAUAGCUGGGCAGUGGUGGGAGAAAGGCCGGUGACAAACGAUGACACUUGUAAUUGCAUCUGUUCUGAUCCUUUUGCUUUCUGCCUGUGUUGUUUGUGUUUCAUCAGGACGAGAGCCAUGGAGCUUUUCCUGCAGAUCCAUAGCUGAAAAGAGGGAGCUGGAAGCUUUGGCUGCCGUUUUUGAGCCUCUCCUGGCAGAGCAACGCAAAGAUGCUGAGAUUGAGAAAGCAGUGAGGAAUGAAUGUGCUUCCUCACACAUGCAAGUGCCCAGUUCUGCGACCCAGUUGCUGCCAGUAGUUCUCCAGUUCCUGUUGCCAUCAGGUGGGUGAGUUUGCUGUUUCCUCAAACACUCAGAGACAUGCUCUCAGCUCAUAGAUAAUUCCAAUUCCUUUACCCUUGGCAGAAACCCAGGCUUUGACCUUUUUCCCUGCAAGUUUCAAAGGUUCUGACAAUUGUAGAGCAGUUUCCUCCAUGACAGAGAGGAACUUGUUGAGGCUCAGUCCCAGCUGAGCUAGACCUGGCAGGGCCAUCGUUUUGGUUCUGCCCACAGAGCAAUGUGAAAGUCCUGCAAAGCAUGACAUUGCUGUGGUGCUACAAUGUGGAUUUAAAACUUAACACCUCUGAUGUGCUCCAGCCCUUUAACAUGUGCAGCUGGUCUGAUGGUGAAGCCAGGCUUCUGGACUGUACACCUUCCCAGGCUCCGUUUUAUUGUAACAAAAGGAAGGAUAUGGGAAGGGCAUCAUCUAAACACUAGGGUGACAGAGACAUGAGUGAAGUCAAGGUCUAGUUAGGAGGGUGAUGCUGCUCCUCUGCACCAGUGUCCGUGAGGACACUAUGAAAGGACAGAGGUCCUCAUUCUUCUCCUAUAGAAAAAAAGUUUAAGUGCUGCUUCUCCACCUUUUCCUUACUUUCCUGAUUUGAACCUGUGUCCAGGCACAUGCAACCAAGCCUUCAGUGCCUUGUCUCCAAGCCAGUCUUGGAAAGACUUCUAACUUAACAGUUGACCUGUGCAGCACAGAGGCUCUUGUAACAUGCUCAUGGACUCCGGCUGUAGUGGUGUAGACAGGUAAUAGGUUCUACAUGCUGUUCUCUUCUCUAGCUGCAGGUUGGGGACUGUUCUGCAGAGCUCAUUAUAGAAACCAAACAAGCCACUUUGAAGCAGAAGCAAAUGAUAUUUAGCAGCAUGAGCAGAAUCUGAAGUGCUGUUCACCCAUGGUCUCAUUUCUAGAUGUGUUAUAUGUGCAUGUUGCCAAUUGUUUUCCAUGCUCUUUCCCUGGCCCAUCAUUUAGUCUUGCUGCUGUGAUCUUUGCCACAGCUUUAGGGGGGUUACCAUGCAGUUUCCUUAGCAUAAUUUCAACUGACCACUGGUGCACAAGCUGCUAAGCAGCUUCUGCCAGGAGAACUUGACAGGGCUGUGCUUACCCAUCUUGCUUUUCCUCACUUGGAAUAUGCCAUUUCCUAAGCUGGUUUGCUAUUCCUGUGAUUGGGAAAUAAGGCAACCAAGCGACACAGAUGCCAUGGGAAUGACAACUGCCAUAGCCCCCUUGAAAGACAGCUGAGAUGAAUCUAGAGCACAUGUUAGAAAGUACAGCUAAGGAUGACACAUCGUGCUCUGAAGCGCAAAUAACCCUUCUAUGCUCAUGUUUUCUUGACAUUUCAGAUAGUGCCUGUCUCACUACUUGUAGAAAUCUGUAAAUUUGGGGUAUAGGGUUUUGAAUUUUAGGUUUUUUUUCUGGUAAGAAUUAGCACUGAUUUCAAACGGGUUUUCAAGGGAAAUAAAUAGCAGGUAAGAAAAUGCA